rnacentral:lncRNA from 1 species
CUGAGAGUGAAGGCUGCAGAGACGCCCGGGUCCUGCACCUGCAGUCAGCGCGAUGGCAGCAGCCACUGACAUCAGAAUCUUAGCUGGGAAAGUAGAUGAGCACUCGGCUUGCCCAGAAUGGAUAUUUGAACGUGAAUUACCUUUGAUGAGAAGCUGUUUCAUCUCUUCUCAAGCCUGUAAUUUAAAGAUCCUGGGCUGUUGGAAACAUCAAGUAUGGCAUCAAUUUCUUCAUUUAUACCUAAGAUAUAGCCUCCUGAUGAAAGAAUAAAACUUUCAAUUAACUGGCAGAA